CCUACGGGAGGCAGCAGUGGGGAAUUUUCCGCAAUGGGCGAAAGCCUGACGAGCAAUACCGCGUGAGGGAAGAAAGCCUACUGGGUUGUAAACCUCUUUUUUCAGGGAGGAAAAAAAUGACGUGUACCUGAAGAAUAAGCAUCGGCUAACUCCGUGCCAGCAGCCGCGGUAAGACGGAGGAUGCAAGUGUUAUCCGGAAUUACUGGGCGUAAAGCGUCUGUAGGUGGUUUAAUAAGUCAACUGUUAAAUCUUGAGGCUUAACUUCAAAACAGCAGUCGAAACUAUUAGACUAGAGUAUAGUAGGGGUAAAGGGAAUUUCCAGUGGAGCGGUGAAAUGCGUAGAUAUUGGAAAGAACACCGAUGGCGAAAGCACUUUACUGGGCUAUUACUAACACUCAGAGACGAAAGCUAGGGUAGCAAAUGGGAUUAGAUACCCCAGUAGUCCUAGCUGUAAACAAUGGAUACUAGAUGUUGAACAGAUCGACCUGUGCAGUAUUAAAGCUAACGCGUUAAGUAUCCCGCCUGGGAAGUAUGCUCGCAAGAGUGAAACUCAAAGGAAUUGACGG
rnacentral:rRNA from 1 species